CCAGCCCUUAGGAGGUUAAAAAAAUAAUGCCGUUACCCGUUACCCCCCUGUACAUUUUCACUCCUUUGUUCAACGACAUGGCACAUAACAUCGCAAUAUCGCCAUCAGACAUCAGCCACGUCUCACCGUCAAAAUAAUUCUGUUCAUCGCUUUCUUCUAUACGAGUUCAUGUACCUAUUUCGAUGUUCAGGAACGACUUAACGACUAGUACCAUAGAAGAAGGGCUAGUAUAGUCUAUUUUGCUUCAAGAUCGACCAUUCUUUCUCUACACGACACACGACAGAAUUAUUUUGAUUCCGUAUCUACUAUCUACCUAAUCUAAUGCUUGGCUCAAAAUCUGGAAACUAUCAAAACAUCCAGCGAUGAUGCAAUAUGAGGUGCUUGGUGUUUCAUUCAUUUACGUAUUUUCGGAUCGUGUUAACGAUCGAUUGAAGUUUUGAAUGUUUGCGCAUGAUAUUUCAUUAUUACCUAUGUUAAAAGACAAAACUGGUCAGCGUUUGGGCGCAUUUCAAGGAAAUGGACUUCAAAUCUUUGAUUAAUACGAAAUUCAAGAUCAUGAUUUCUUUUAAUUCCCACGCCGAAGAUCUGAUUCUGAAGUCAAGUUUCCGACGUAGAUGAAAGGGAAAUACAUAUUGAAAAUGAAGAGUUUCAAAAUAGGUCGGAGUAUUUUCGAAUAUGUAAGUGACUAAGUGUACAUUACAUGCGUAGAUUAUGAAAAAUGAGUACGAUUAUUUGAUAAACACCUACGUAUUUUAUCACUAUCGAAGAUACCUAUCUAUUUCGAGAUAGAAUUUCGGAACAAUCAUGGAAACUGUUAUACUGCUCGCCGACAAUGAUGUAGAGAUAUCCACAAUGUAGAUUGUAGACGACAACGCUGUUGUUUGUGAAUGGCGAAGAUAUGAGAUCAGCGUGAAUGGGUGCUGAUAAAUAACGUUGAGCUGGUGUCUUGGUGAGUAAUGUAUUGUUAAAAAAAGGUGGAUAAUCCACUAUAAAACCGACCCGG